rnacentral:piRNA from 1 species
UCCGCAGGUUCUAGCAGUGGG